rnacentral:misc_RNA from 1 species
ACAUCUUCAACCUGCUUGGUUUUUUAUCCAAUCAAGUAGGCUUGGAAUUUGGAGGUUUUCUGCUGGCCUUCUCUGAAGCCAGCUCCUCUUAAAUCUAUUAGUGGGAUCCGCUUUGCUAGAUCCUUGACGUUGAUAAGAUAUUUCUACGUCUUGGGUGAAAGGACCUGCUUCUAACCGUCCCAUCGGGGACAAUGUUCGAGCCGAUCGCCCUUCACGGGGUGGGAAGCUUUCGACCCAUGAAA